AGGGGUAGAAUGUCUUCGGAUGUUUGAGACCGGCGCACGGGUGCGUAACGCGUAUGCAACCUACCUCUUACUGGGGAAUAGCCCGAAGAAAUUCGGAUUAAUGCCCAAUAUGCUCGUACGGCCUCAUGGUCGAGCGAGGAAAGCUCCGGCGGUAAGAGAUGGGCAUGCGUCCUAUUAGCUUGUUGGUGAGGUAAUGGCUCACCAAGGCUACGAUAGGUAGGGGGCCUGAGAGGGUGACCCCCACACUGGUACUGAGACACGGACCAGACUCC
rnacentral:rRNA from 1 species